rnacentral:rRNA from 1 species
AUGACAUCUCCAAGUGCCCUCAAGGACAGGUUCUUCGAGAAGGUCAUCAACCCCUACCUCGCGGAAGUGCUGCAACAUCCUCAAACCAUUGAGAUGCAUGAGGGGGUGCUGCACAUCCGCGAUGUUGAGGGACCCAGGAGGACCGGAAGCGUGGAGACAAGACUCGAAGCAAUGGAGCAGCAAGUUUUCAAGUGCCAAGGGAUGGUGGAACGCGGACUCGACACCAACCACAUGAUGAUCGCGGAGUUCACCAACAACCACAAGAUGGAUGCCAAGAACAUUGGGGAGGCCAUCUUCAAGCUUCAUGAGAAAAUCGAGCACCUCCAAGCCCAGAUCUAUGACCUGCAAAAUUAA